AGGACGAACGCUGGCGGCGUGCUUAACACAUGCAAGUCGAGCGGAAAGGCCCUUCGGGGUACUCGAGCGGCGAACGGGUGAGUAACACGUGAGUAACCUGCCCCUAGCUCUGGGAUAGCUCCGGGAAACCGGGAUUAAUACCAGAUACGACCACUUUAGACAUCUGUCGUGGUGGAAAGGAUUCCGGCUAGGGAUGGGCUCGCGGCCUAUCAGCUUGUUGGUGGGGUAACGGCCUACCAAGGCGACGACGGGUAGCCGGCCUGAGAGGGCGACCGGCCACACUGGGACUGAGACACGGCCCAGACUCCUACGGGAGGCAGCAGUGGGAAUAUUGCGCAAUGGGCGAAAGCCUGACGCAGCGACGCCGCGUGGGGGAUGAAGGCCUUCGGGUUGUAAACCCCUUUCAGCAGGGACGAAGCGAAAGUGACGGUACCGUGCAGAAGAAGCGCCGGCUAACUACGUGCCAGCAGCCGC
rnacentral:rRNA from 1 species